GGCCAUUUCGAUAAUGUCAAGCUCCUUAUCUACAAGAUGUAAAAACAACAUUUGAAUUUAGGUAAAUACUUCAAACUUGAAAUGAUAAAUUAUACACACACACACACAAAGAGAUAUGAUACCACAAUGGAACAAAAUAGUUAUUCGAAGAAACUAUUGUCUGGAGGGCAAGGCAAGAACUGCCUAUUUUAUGCUUAAGGAAGGAAAAAUAGGGGAUAAUUAAAAGCUUAGAAGUUGAGGCGAACCAGAAUGGUGAACAAGCAAGUCACAGUUGGGCAUGGAUCAAAAUGGCCAGAUCAAAAUUAUAGCCUAACCUUGUAAAAUAAACCUCUAAAUUACUAUUUACUGCAACCACAAAAACUGCAAAUUAUUGGUUUGCUUUGAAAUAUGCUUCUCAGUACCAAGAUGCUUAUGCACACUUGUUAAUUAAAGUAAUUUUAAAACAAGUAAAUGCAUUUAAAUAGGAUACUGCUUGACUUUACCUAGAACAAAAUUCAUGGAACAAAAGUUUUAACUCUCAAUUUUUUUUUUGAAGUAAAUUUCUACUUAGGUUGUCUACAUGAAUUAAGAUCGUCAUAUGAGAGGCUCUCAACUUGCUAAAGUGAACCAGAGUUCCUGUCCUACAGAAUGGAGAAGCAAUCAUCCACACAGAAAACAUCAUCUAUGCUCAGGAACAAUGGUUGUGCUAAUUCAGCAGAAAUCCUAUGAUCAGUGAUGGCCAAACAACGCAUUUGAAAUCCAUCAAGAGUAGAAUGGCACCAAUGAUGAAGCAGUGCCAGAAGUUUAUCCUUCAUCACAAGUAAGUCAGUGAGCGAGGAUAGUGACAAGUGCAUGUUUGGUAAACCCCGUUACUUAACCAAUCAGAAACAAAAAAUUUCCCCCAGAAUUUUAAAAAUAAAGACUAUUCUCAGACAUUAAUGUUUCCAUAAGAAACUCUUGUUGUCACUGCUUCCUACCUGCAUUUGCUCCUUGGAAACCAAUGUUUUCAGGAACAAACCAAACUGGCCAGUUCAACCAGGAAUAUCAC
rnacentral:lncRNA from 1 species